GAGAAUUGAGAGAAACAAAAACUCUCGUCGCAUGCACAAGCUCGGCCGUAAGUUGUACGGUGUCACAAUAACUGGCCAUAGAGAAUACUGCCUUCCAUGCUUUCCAAAUGGGCUGAAACCAUCAGUAGAUAAUCCAAGAUAAACAUUUCUUCUCUCUUCCGCAAAUUCUGGAUAUGUUGACUGGAAAUGUUUUCAAGCCUUUGCAUCUGAAGGAUGUCUAAUCUCACCAUUUGUGGAAUGCUCUGCAUGCCAUCUCAUUGCUUUUGCUGUGCGCUCACACUGAUACAACCUCUUCAAUCUUUCCGUCAAAGGCAAAUACCACAUUCUUUUGAAUGGGAUCGGAACUCUUCCCCUCGUCUCCUGAUAACGAGGUUUCCCACAAAAUUUGCAUACAUUCCGUGUCUCAUCCGCUC
rnacentral:lncRNA from 1 species